GACGAACGCUGGCGGCGCGCCUAACACAUGCAAGUCGAACGAGCGAGAGGAGGUUUACUUUCUCAAGCGAGUGGCGAACGGGUGAGUAACGCGUGAGGAACCUGCCUCAAAGAGGGGGACAACAGUUGGAAACGACUGCUAACACCGCAUAAGCCCACGACCCGGCAUCGGGUAGAGGGAAAAGGAGCAAUCCGCUUUGAGAUGGCCUCGCGUCCGAUUAGCUAGUUGGUGGGGUAAUGGCCCACCAAGGCGACGAUCGGUAGCCGGACUGAGAGGUUGAACGGCCACAUUGGGACUGAGACACGGCCCAGACUCCUACGGGAGGCAGCAGUGGGGAAUAUUGCACAAUGGGGGAAACCCUGAUGCAGCGACGCCGCGUGGAGGAAGAAGGUCUUCGGAUUGUAAACUCCUGUUGUUGAGGAAGAUAAUGACGGUACUCAACAAGGAAGUGACGGCUAACUACGUG
rnacentral:rRNA from 1 species